UGCCCAAUGCGGGAAUCGAACCCGGGUCAUAGUGGUCGAAAACCAAACGGUUUAACCAGCCUUCCACCGACCCCCCCCUAAACCAACAUGGU